rnacentral:rRNA from 1 species
UACGUAGGGUGCGAGCGUUGUCCGGAAUUAUUGGGCGUAAAGAGCUUGUAGGCGGUUUGUCGCGUCUGCUGUGAAAACCCGAGGCUUAACCUCGGGCCUGCAGUGGGUACGGGCAGACUAGAGUGUGGUAGGGGAGACUGGAAUUCCUGGUGUAGCGGUGAAAUGCGCAGAUAUCAGGAGGAACACCGAUGGCGAAGGCAGGUCUCUGGGCCAUAACUGACGCUGAGAAGCGAAAGCAUGGGGAGCGAAC